rnacentral:rRNA from 1 species
UUUCCGGUUGAUCCUUGCCGGACCUUGACUGCUAUUCAGAUUGAUACUAAGCCAUUGCGAGUCUUUGUAGGUAAUACAAGGGCAGACUGGCUCAGUAACGUCGUUAGUUCAACUCUAACCUAUGGACUGGGAAUAACCUCGGGAAAGCUGAGUAUAAUGCCCGAUAGAACAUAUGUCCUGGUAAUGGUUUUAUGUUCCAAAUUGAUUUAUCGCUCGUAGGAUUGGGACUUGCGGCCUAUCAGUUGUGUUUGGUGAGGUUAAUGGCCCACCAAUGACUAUUACAGUGUUACGGUGCUCUGAGAGGAGGUGGCCCUGGAGAUGGGUACUUGAGACACUGGACCCAGUGCCCUAUGUGGGCGCAGUCAGUGCGAGUAAAACUUUUGCAAUUGUUGCGAAAGCAACGACAAUGGUUAAUCGCGAGUUGGUUUUCUGCUAUACACGGAACCUUUCUGUCUGGUCCUAUGAAACACCGUAUGAAUAGUAGAGGGUGGUGCAAGUUACUGGUGUUCAGAUCGACGUCGGUGAAAACCAAGCAACUUCAAGUUGGUCCCGUGAUGAUUAUUUGGGCCUCGAAGCAUACCGUUAGCCGGGCU